AAUUGAUUAAUUAGAACAAGAAUUGCUUGAGUUGGUGCUCUACGUGUUAAGCAAGAAGACAAAAGCAAGUUUAAUUGUUUUAGUUUGUGAACAAAAGGUUAUGAAGGAGUCUGUCGCACCAGAAUUGAAAGGAUGGCUAGCGCUAACUCUGCACACCAGUUGAUCAACAAAUUGCCACAAUGAAAACUGAACCUGCAGCAACAAAAAUUAGGAAGCCUCUGUCAAUACGCAGUCAAGAAUUCUAAUUAAUCAAGACCCCCCCUGUGAGCUCCGGAAAAAUUUAUCGAGAUAAGGUGAGAUCGUUUGGAAUAAAUUUGACGAUAUCGGUAAUUGUUAUUCCAAACUUGACGAUAUCGGUAAUUGUUAAAAAUCUUCGGGAAUAAUUAUUGAGAUUUUUCACAAGGUGGAGUCUUCAAAAUUUAGACUCUAUAAUGAAGUACGCGAUGUGACGAGUCCGUGAGAAUUUUCAGGGAAAUUUUCGGACACUGACCUAUUUAUUAUGAAUUUCCAAAGUUUAGGAAUUAUGGAAAUUCAUUUUAUAUAAAAAAGGAAAUGUUUUGGCACGAUCUGAGCCGUUGAAACAUUCACCGCUUCAUCUGAGCCAUCCAAAAUCGUUUUCCCCUUAAAUAAGAGAGGAGACUUGAUGGACGCACUAGAUCGUUCCAGAAACGAACAGAAGCAUCGACCCAUUUCUGCAGCUCGAGACCCGCGACGGUGACCCAACCGGGAACUCCAGCGUCCGGCAACGACACGACGGCGAACCGGUCAUGUUCGACGCGUCUUGUGGUCGUAGUUCUGCCUAUGGUCACAAAUCGUCCAUGCAUGGAGCGAGGAGAGAGAACGGAAGCCCGAAAGCUUCGAGUUUUCCGGCAAAGUUUCUGCAAUUUCCGGCGAUCUUCGGGGCUACAUGAGCGGAGCCGCUGUCCUCCUUGGUCGUCCUUUGCUUCUGGGUUCGUCGCCGACCUCCUGAAGCAUGGAUUGGCAUCUGUUGGAGCUCGAUUCCUUGAGUGGGUUGAAUUGUGCCGAAGGGAGACUGCAGUUAAAUUUGGGUUCCAGAAAAUUCAAAGCUAAGGAAAGAGAAAGUAAGAACAAAGCCAAUAAUUGAACUUUGGAAGGAAGGAAUGAUCAAUGAUGGAACCGAUAAUUAAGGAACAGGAGGAGAAAGCAUACUGUUGUUUCUAGUCCAACAAUCCAGCAAGAAGGAAGAGUUUAAUCUAAAGAUUUUACAAGGACUCCAGUUACCCGAGGAAUGGAAGGUUCGUGACUCUCAGAGUACGUGAAGAAAAGCAUCGGAAUCUAGGUAGGGGACUCGGGACUCAUUCGGUUAGUUGUUUUCCUUUUUGAAUUAAAUGUUUAUGCAUAUUUGAGUUGCAUGGUUUGGUUAUUGAUGGCUUGAGAGUGAGUGGAACAUAGCGAUUCCUUGGGCUUCGAUCCCCUAAACCUCCGGAGGGGCCGUAGGGACGAAAUGGUGUCUGACAUCCUCUGAGAUGUGGCACUCUUUCUAGGUGAUAUGGCGUAAGUGGACACUCUCACUACGCUUACCUGGUGAUGAUUUUAUUUGAGGUAAGGCCGUGUAGUUGGUUCGUGGGACUGGCCAUCAGGUAUUAUGCAUUUCUUUGAGUUUUGUGCUUUGGAUUUUGAGUCCGAAAGAUAUUUGAAGUUUGUCGUCCUUUAAAGAAAUGGUUUAACUUUUUCAUAUUGGGUACCCAAAUUUCUAUUUUGUGUGUCGGUUUUCAAACCUAGUCGGGUGAAGCCCCUAUUGAGCAGCGAGGACGAAAGCUCACCCCUACAAUAGUGUGGAUGCAGGUACUGUGCAUUGGUAAUGGGAUUGGAGCGGAUGGAGUUGGGUGUGCGGAUUUCAGUAAUGUAUCUCUGUGUAAACCAGGUUCCGAGUUCCAAAUCCUAUCCUUGUUUCUACAAGCUGUAUUUCCGGAAUUUGUUGAAAACUGUUUUGUUGUGUGCUUAAUCCUUUAUUCCUCGAUUGUUUGCAACGUUAAGUAUUGGAUGAACAUUUGAAUUUAAAGUUUUAGAAAGGUUUUCAACUCAAAAGAAUUUAAAAGCUUCCGUUGUGUAUUUUUGGGAAAAAUUUAUUUUGAACAAAUUUGCCUUGCAAAUUUCUAGAAUGUAAAAUUUAUUUUCGGUUUAUGUUUUAGAGACUCGCAGCACUGUAACGUACUCAAGGUGGUGAGGUACAGUUUGGGGCGUUA